rnacentral:rRNA from 1 species
GACGAACGCUGGCGGCGUGCUUAACACAUGCAAGUCGGACGGAAAGGCCCUGCUUUUGUGGGGUGCUCGAGUGGCGAACGGGUGAGUAACACGUGAGUAACCUGCCCUUGACUUUGGGAUAACUUCAGGAAACUGGGGCUAAUACCGGAUAGGAGCUCCUGCUGCAUGGUGGGGGUUGGAAAGUUUCGGCGGUUGGGGAUGGACUCGCGGCUUAUCAGCUUGUUGGUGGGGUAGUGGCUUACCAAGGCUUUGACGGGUAGCCGGCCUGAGAGGGUGACCGGCGACAUUGGGACUGAGAUACGGCCCAGACUCCUACGGGAGGCAGCAGUGGGGAAUAUUGCACAAUGGGCGGAAGCCUGAUGCAGCAACGCCGCGUGCGGGAUGACGGCCUUCGGGUUGUAAACCGCUUUCGCCUGUGACGAAGCGUGAGUGACGGUAAUGGGUAAAGAAGCGCCGGCUAACUACGUG